UACGGGGGGGGUAAGCGUUGUUCGGAAUUACUGGGCGUAAAGGGCUCGUAGGCGGCCAACUAAGUCAUACGUGAAAUCCCUCAGCUUAACUGGGGAACUGCGUGUGAUACUGGAUGGCUUGGAUUUGGGAGAGGGAUGCGGAAUUCCAGGUGUAGCGGUGAAAUGCGUAGAUAUCGGAAGGAACAUCAGCGGCGAAAGCGACUUCCUGGACCAAUACUGACGCUCAUGUGCGAAAGCGUGGGGAGCAAACAGG
rnacentral:rRNA from 1 species